rnacentral:lncRNA from 1 species
UUUAAUUUCCCUUACAAAAUUUCUUUAUACGGAUGGUCUUCGACUUGCGACGGCCAAAAAUUAUUAAAAAUUCUGUAAUUCAACUUUGCCGCCUACUUAUAUUGCUUUUGCAUACGCAUCGCAACGUCGCCAUUCUGCUAUUACGUAUUAUUGAAAGACUUCAACAAUAUUCAACAGCCACUAGUGUGAUUUACACUUAUAAUUUAUCACAGACUUUAGCACGUCAGUUGCUAAUCAGCAGUCGAAGUGUUCGUAUCUCGCCAGUAAGAGAAAAUAAUAAUUUCUUAGUUUUAUAUUUAUGUAUUAAUUGUAUGUAUGUUAAUAAAUAAUUUAUAAAGUUUUGUGCG